UGAAAUAAGGAUAAAUUUUAAAGGAUCUCAUGACAAGUUACAGCAACAAUGGAGUUUUCAACCAAGCUUACCAUGACAGUGAGACACUGGAAAUUGUUAGGCCUUCCAGGAAAUCCAACCACACUAAUCCAUACACGAAUGAAGACUUAACACUAUGGGGUGAAAGACCCGAUGUAAGAAAUGCUGAACGUGGAGCACACAGAGGAGGCUGGCAGGAUGAGAGCUGGAAGGUGGGCGAAAACAUCCCAAUGGGCCUCAUCAGCACCGAUUCAGACAGAACUUCAUGGCAGCAGAACCUCCAUCACAGCUCGUUUCAGAUUGACAGUGAUUCUCACUAUGACCCAUCAGCAGCUGUUCGACGUCUCUCUUCAGUGUCAG